GUUUGAUCCUGGCUCAGGAUGAACGCCCUUGACAGGCUUAACACAUGCAAGUCGAGGGGCAGCGGGGCGGCAGGCUUGCCUGCCGUUGCCGGCGACCGGCGCACGGGUGAGUAACACGUAUGCAACCUGCCCGUGGCAGGGGGAUAAGCGGGGGAAACCCCGUCUAAUACCGCGUAACGCGGCCUAGGGACAUCCCAAGGCCGCCAAAGGGAGCAAUCCCGGCCACGGAUGGGCAUGCGGCGCAUUAGCUAGUCGGCGGGGUAACGGCCCACCGAGGCGACGAUGCGUAGGGGUUCUGAGAGGAAGGCCCCCCACACUGGUACUGAGACACGGACCAGACUCCUACGGGAGGCAGCAGUGAGGAAUAUUGGUCAAUGGUCGGGAGACUGAACCAGCCAAGCCGCGUGAGGGAUGAAGGUACAGAGUAUCGUAAACCUCUUUUGUCAGGGAACAAAGGCGGGGACGCGUCCCCGGAUGAGUGUACCUGAAGAAAAAGCAUCGGCUAACUCCGUGCCAGCAGCCGCGGUAAUACGGAGGAUGCGAGCGUUAUCCGGAUUUAUUGGGUUUAAAGGGUGCGCAGGCGGUCUGUUAAGUCAGCGGUCAAAGCCCGGGGCUCAACCCCGGCCCGCCGUUGAAACUGGCAGUCUCGAGUUGGAGAGAAGUAUGCGGAAUGCGCGGUGUAGCGGUGAAAUGCAUAGAUAUCGCGCAGAACUCCGAUUGCGAAGGCAGCAUGCCGGCUCCACACUGACGCUGAGGCACGAAAGCGUGGGUAUCGAACAAGGAUUAGAUACCAUGGUAGUCCACGCCAGUUAAACGAUGAAUGCUGGGCUGUCCGGGGGGGGACUGACCCCUGGGUGGCGAAAGCGAAAGCGAUAAGCAUUUCACCUGGGGGGUACGCCGGCAACGGUGAAACUCAAAGGAAUUGACGGGGGCCCGCACAAGCGGAGGAACAUGUGGUUUAAUUCGAUGAUACGCGAGGAACCUUACCCGGGCUCAAACGCCUCAGGAAUCAUUUGUGAAAGCAGAUGAGUCUUCGGACCUGAGGCGAGGUGCUGCAUGGUUGUCGUCAGCUCGUGCCGUGAGGUGUCGGCUUAAGUGCCAUAACGAGCGCAACCCCCACCGACAGUUGCUAACUGGUUAAGCAGAGGACUCUGUCGGGACUGCCGGCGCAAGCUGCGAGGAAGGCGGGGAUGACGUCAAAUCAGCACGGCCCUUACGUCCGGGGCGACACACGUGUUACAAUGGCAGGUACAGCGGGAAGCGACCGAGCGAUCGGCAGCGGAACCCGAAAACCUGUCUCAGUUCGGAUCGGAGUCUGCAACCCGACUCCGUGAAGCUGGAUUCGCUAGUAAUCGCGCAUCAGCCAUGGCGCGGUGAAUACGUUCCCGGGCCUUGCACUCACCGCCCGUCA
rnacentral:rRNA from 1 species